rnacentral:rRNA from 1 species
UACGUAGGUUGCGAGCGUUAAUCGGAAUUGCUGGGCGUAAAGCGUGCGCAGGCGGUUUUUUAAGCCCGAUGUUAAAUCCCCGGGCUUAACCUGGGAACUGCAUUUGGAACUGGAAGACUAGAGUACGGCAGAGGGGGGUAGAAUUCCACGUGUAGCAGUGAAAUGCGUAGAUAUGUGGAGGAAUACCGAUGGCGAAGGCAGCCCCCUGGGUCGAUACUGACACUCAUGCACGAAAGCGUGGGGAGCAAACAGG